CGGUUAUACCAAGUGAUUAAGCUAUAUUCAUAGGUAAAAAGAUAGUUAGGUAUAAAGUAAUAUAUUUAGUUUAUUAAACAUUUAUAAAAAAGUAAAAUUUGUAUAUAGAUAGCUAAUCUUAAAAUAACUAAUAAGUAAGAUACUGAAGCUGUGAUAAUCUUGAGGGAAACUGGGAUUAGAUACCCCAUUAUUCUUGAUUGUAAAUGUAAUUAGAUUUACCAGAGUACUAUGAAUAGUUAAAAAUUUAAAACUCAAAGGGCUUGGCGGUGUUUUAGACCUAUCAGGGGAACCUGUCUCGUAAUCGACAAUCCACGUAGUAUCUAACCUUAUUUUGUAAUCAGUUUGUAUACCGUCGUCGUCAGGUAACUUUUAAAAAUAUAGAAGUUAGCAACUAAAAUUAUUUAAAUUAAGACGUCAGAUCAAGGUGCAGCCUAUAAUAAGGAGAGGAUGGGUUACAAUUAUUAAAUUAUAACUACGAAAAUUUAACUGAAAUUAUUAUUUUGAAGGAGGACUUGAAAGUAAACUAGAAUAUAUAAAUAGUUUGAAUAAGGCUCUG
rnacentral:rRNA from 1 species